CCUACGGGUGGCAGCAGUCGAGAAUCAUUCACAAUGGGGGAAACCCUGAUGGUGCGACGCCGCGUGGGGGAAUGAAGGUCUUCGGAUUGUAAACCCCUGUCAUGUGGGAGCAAAUUAAAAAGAUAGUACCACAAGAGGAAGAGACGGCUAACUCUGUGCCAGCAGCCGCGGGAAUACAGAGGUCUCAAGCGUUGUUCGGAAUCACUGGGCGUAAAGCGUGCGUAGGCUGUUUCGUAAGUCGUGUGUGAAAGGCGCGGGCUCAACCCGCGGACGGCACAUGAUACUGCGAGACGAGAGUUAUGGAGGGGGAAGCGGAAUGCUCGGUGUAGCAGUGAAAUGCGUAGAUAUCGAGAGGAACACUCGUGGCGAAGGCGGGUUCCUGGACAUUAACUGACGCUGAGGCACGAAGGCCAGGGGAGCGAAAGGGAUUAGAUACCCGAGUAGUC
rnacentral:rRNA from 1 species